rnacentral:tRNA from 1 species
GGAGAGAUGACCGAGUGGCCAAAGGUGCUCGCCUGCUAAGCGAGUGAGGGGGGAAACUUCCUCCGAGGGUUCGAAUCCCUCUCUCUCCGCCA